AGCGUUCUCGCUUUCAUUGUCUCGUCCGACUCUACCCGGUCUAGUUCGGUUCUACGUAUUUAGAAAUCGCUGUAAAAUUCGAGUCUGUCCACCGGGUUUUAACGAGUGUUCGGAAUCGUGAUAAUUUUCUAAUUAGUUAGUCUAAUCGUUCUACCGAAUCUGAGUAUUAAUUGUAGACGCGAUUAAUGAAAUUAAAAAUUGUCUCGCGGUUAACUAAAAGUGACGCGUGUACUUCGGUGUUCCGUGCUCAGUUUUCGACCUGUUGCUGCUACGAAUAAAAGUUUGUUUAGUUAAUUUCGAUGUGUGAGUUGAUUUCAUCGGAUGUUUGCUGUCCUCGAAACAUGGAUCCUGAGCUACUACGUCUACUGCAUCUACAACAAAUUCAUCUCGCAUCCACGAUACAAAGGAGGAUCCUGAGAAUAUUUAGCACCGAAUUUCGUCUCUCCUGAUUUUAAAAAAUAUGGUGAGUUCCCUAGUUCAAUUUUUUGUGACGUCUCCUCCCUUGUUUUACCACGUGGCGUGGCGGUACCCUGCUUUUUGAAAUAAUUUUAUACUAGAUCAGGACACGCGUUUUCUAAAUUUUCGAAAAUAUCCGGUGAUCGAUCUCCUUUGCGUCGAUCACCGAUGAUUAGCAAUGACAUCUAAUGAUACCUUUUUGACGUUCAUACUUUUUACGUGAUUCAAUUGAAUUCUGUAGACCAGGAUGUCUAAUCAUUGUGAAACUUUUUCUUCCCUCGCACACAUUUUUUAGCCCUUAAAUUUUAUUAGCGCUUCAUAAACAAAUUCGAGAUUUAUUAAAUUUAUUCUUUGACUUCGAAUUAUUCUUCACUGAAUUCAUCAAUUUAUCGAAAACAUUUAAUUAUCGAAAGUAAAGUCAGCCAAAGAUUAUCAAUUUUGAGUAGAUUUCGGCCUGACAAAAAACACCCCUUUGUUCAAAUUUGUAAAUUACGGCUUCGGUCGGGGCAUGGGCAGCCUCUAUAUUUUUUCCACACACACCAUAGGUCCACAGUAAGUUUUCGAACGAGAUACCACGGCAAUGAAUGUGAGAUAUGAGUGAGAAGGAAUGUUCGGAGAGCCGGCUCAAGUGUGAAUCUCUUCAUUUUCGUCAGUAAAAUCAUUUCUUGGAUAAAUAUAGGUGAAAGGCAGGUAUAGG
rnacentral:misc_RNA from 1 species